AUUGAACGCUGGCGGCAGGCCUAACACAUGCAAGUCGAGCGGAUGAAGGGAGCUUGCUCCUGGAUUCAGCGGCGGACGGGUGAGUAAUGCCUAGGAAUCUGCCUGGUAGUGGGGGAUAACGUCCGGAAACGGGCGCUAAUACCGCAUACGUCCUGAGGGAGAAAGUGGGGGAUCUUCGGACCUCACGCUAUCAGAUGAGCCUAGGUCGGAUUAGCUAGUUGGUGGUAAAGGCCUACCAAGGCGACGAUCCGUAACUGGUCUGAGAGGAUGAUCAGUCACACUGGAACUGAGACACGGUCCAGACUCCUACGGGAGGCAGCAGUGGGGAAUAUUGGACAAUGGGCGAAAGCCUGAUCCAGCCAUGCCGCGUGUGUGAAGAAGGUCUUCGGAUUGUAAAGCACUUUAAGUUGGGAGGAAGGGCAGUAAGUUAAUACCUUGCUGUUUUGACGUUACCAACAGAAUAAGCACCGGCUAACUUCGUG
rnacentral:rRNA from 1 species